rnacentral:rRNA from 1 species
UACGGGGGGGGUAAGCGUUGUUCGGAAUUACUGGGCGUAAAGGGCUCGUAGGCGGCCAACUAAGUCAUACGUGAAAUCCCUCAGCUUAACUGGGGAACUGCGUGUGAUACUGGAUGGCUUGGAUUUGGGAGAGGGAUGCGGAAUUCCAGGUGUAGCGGUGAAAUGCGUAGAUAUCUGGAGGAACACCGGUGGCGAAGGCGGCAUCCUGGACCACAACUGACGCUGAGGCGCGAAAGCGUGGGGAGCGAACAGG